AAUGAAAUGCCUGAAGUUAAAGGGUUAUUUUGAUAGAAUAAAUCAUGCAGACACCUGCUUUCAUUA
rnacentral:tRNA from 1 species